rnacentral:rRNA from 1 species
UACGAAGGGGGCUAGCGUUGUUCGGAAUCACUGGGCGUAAAGCGCACGUAGGCGGAUUUGUAAGUCAGGGGUGAAAUCCCGGGGCUCAACCUCGGAACUGCCUUUGAUACUGCAAGUCUCGAGUCCGAGAGAGGUGAGUGGAAUUCCUAGUGUAGAGGUGAAAUUCGUAGAUAUUAGGAAGAACACCAGUGGCGAAGGAGGCUCACGGGCUCGGUACUGACGAUGAGGUGCGAAAGCGUGGGGAGCAAACAGG